rnacentral:lncRNA from 1 species
GACGGAAUCUCUGUCUUUCUGACAACAGAUGCAUUCAACAAUCCACCGAAGGUUUGAGGAAGUGUCGGUAUUCGGUGGGACUGGUUCUUUCCCCCUUUCCCCCAGUGGCCCUCAAGUCUGGAUAUAGCCCAGUCUGGCCUCCAGCGCUGGGUGAACCCGGUUGGGGUGUCACUCGACGCCCACUAGGGGCUGAGGAGGCUCCAGUGCGCAGGCUCCGGGCACCGGAUAAAAGCGGAGCUGGCGAGUCUAGUGCUGUCUCGAUGGAGGAGCAAGAAACGGAAGAGGUCGGGGGGAGAAGCAGCCGGAAAAAUGCAGCCACCGUCAACGCCGCCUCCCUGCCACCGUGCUUCGGGGUAAAAAGCUGCCGUUGCCGUCGGUGCAGUUGCCGUCGCUGCCUCCUAUACUUCUCUUGGCCUCGGGGAAGGAUUUCCCCACCGGUGGGACAAUGUGCGGGGAGGGGAGUGGGAAUUCCUUUAUAUGGCGGUGAUUAAACGAGGGAGGGACAGACAGUGAUCUCGAAGAAAAAAGGGGGAGACCAAAGAA